rnacentral:rRNA from 1 species
CCUACGGGUGGCAGCAGUGGGGGAUAUUGGACAAUGGGGGGAACCCUGAUCCAGCGACGCCGCGUGAGUGAAGAAGUAUUUCGGUAUGUAAAGCUCUGUCAGCAGGGAAGAAAGAAAUGACGGUACCUGACCAAGAAGCCCCGGCUAACUACGUGCCAGCAGCCGCGGUAAUACGUAGGGGGCAAGCGUUAUCCGGAAUUACUGGGUGUAAAGGGAGCGUAGACGGUUAAGUAAGUCUGGAGGGAAAGGCCGGGGCUCAACCCCGGGACUGCUCUGGAAACUAUUUAACUUGAGUGCAGGGAGGGUAAGCGGAAUUCCUAGUGUAGCGGUGAAAUGCGUAGAUAUUAGGAGGAACACCAGUGGCGAAGGCGGCUUGCUGGGUCGAUACUGACAUUGGGGCACGAAAGCGUGGGGAGCAAACGGGAUUAGAUACCCAGUAGUC